GUAGUCUCGCACAGAUGCAUAUCAAUAAGCGGAGGAAAAGAAACUAACAAGGAUUCCCUCUGUAACGGCGAGUGAAGCGGGAAGAGCUCGAAUUUGAAAUCUUGAAAGGUCACCUUUCACGAAUUGUAGUUUAAAGAAGUGUUUUCUGUUACGAUCGUAAUAUAAGUUCUUUGGAAUAGGACAUCACAGAGGGUGAGAAUCCCGUCUAUGAUUGCGAUUUGUAGCUUUGUGAUACACUUUCAAAGAGUCGGGUUGUUUGGGAAUGCAGCCCAAAACGGGAGGUAAAUUUCUUCUAAGGCUAAAUAUUGGCGAGAGACCGAUAGCGAACAAGUACCGUGAGGGAAAGAUGAAAAGAACUUUGAAAAGAGAGUUAAAUAGUACGUGAAAUUGUCAAAAGGGAAGCGUUUGACACCAGUGUUGUUUUCUGAAAAUCAACCUCUGUUAGCUUUAUGCAUGUUUGUUUAGACCUAAUCAGCUAUCUUGCAUGUUCUAUUGUUUGCAGUGGUGCACUUUUCAGUUUACAGGUCAACAUCAGUUUUUUUUACCGUAAAAAAGUUAAAGAAAGGUAGCUCAUGGCUCCGGUCGUGAGUGUUAUAGUCUUUUUCCUAUGCGGUAGGAGAGACUGAGGUCUGCAGUGUAGGCUAUUUGGCUAGAUACUCAGGUGCUAUGUGAUACCAUUUCAUAAACAACUUGUUGAUUAUGUUUUGUCUAUUGCAUACUCGCUUGUACUAUCAUACCUACGCUUAGGAUGUUGAAGAUGUAGCACAUCAUACACGCAUGACACACUGCAUAUCCAAUAAGCGGAGGAAAAGACAAUUACCUACGCUUAGGAUGUUGAAGAUGUAGCACAUCAU
rnacentral:rRNA from 1 species